ensembl:lncRNA
GAGUUGGUGAUGGACAGAGAGGCCUGGCGUGCUGCAGUCCAUGGGGCCACAGAGUCAGACACGACUGAGCGACUGAACUGAUCUGAAGGCCCUGAUGCUUGGAGCCAGGCCUUGCGCGUUCAGUCACUGAAGCCGAGCCCCGGUUUGGGUUUAAUUUCUUAAGGAUGGACCGGGGAGAAGCGUUUGGGUGCUCAGCCUCCAAGGAGCCGGCCCAGCAGUCGCAAGCCCAGUGCCCAGCCUCCCACCCUCGAGGUCUGGGUGCGGCGGGAAUAAGGACUCCUCCUACCCAGACUCGCUCGCCCCUGGAGACACAUGGGCUGGCCAGAACGUGCGGCCCGCCCUCCGCCCCCCGCUCUCCGCCCCCCGCUCCCGGUCCCCCUCUACCAACGCAGGUCUGAGACACUUCGGCGCAGAGCAGCAUUCUCCCGCCCUCAACCGGAACCGGAAGGCGGGGCUAGGCCGUCAUUCAACUUGGCCCCGCCGAUCAGGGCGGGACGACGCGCGCCCUGGGCCCGCCCAGGAAGGUUCCGCAGGUAGAAGGCAGGCGCCCGGUCUACGACGUCAUCGCGCUGACGCCGGCGUCCACUCGGCCCCGCCUGCUCCGUUGAAAAUGCCGAACCUAACAUGGCGGCGCGCGCUCGGCCCGCUUCACCCUGGUGUUUCCUCUCGCGCGGGCACUCUUCAGAGAGGAGAGACCCUCUUGGACAAGAGAGGCAGGCUGCAAAAGCCCACUGAACGUGCUUCUGAUAUUCAGGGGACAGUCUCUCCCACACCCUCUCAAAGUCCUGGUGCCCCAGAGAACCUUCAUUAAAAGGGUGGUCUGCUACCCGUCACCUUCGCUUGGGGCUCUUCCCCGAACAUAGUGACAGUGAUACAAAGCUGAAAACGGACGUCUGGAGCUUGGAACGCCUUCUCUGCAAUGCAGGUCACUUUUCUUCCUGUGAUAGAAAUCUCCUCUGUGCAUCAGAAGACUGAUUUCAGGGCCUGAGACGUCACGGACGCCAAGCCUCGCUUCUCAAGUCCUGUCUUAAAUUAUGAAACGCAGCUCGGGGACUUGAGUGUAGAUGACCUGUCUCAGCAGAGCGAGGUCUGGCAAACAAGAGAAUGCUCAAGAGUCAAUAACUGCUCAAGUGCUUUCUCCUGACUCCGGAGGCUCUCAGAUCCCGGCGUUAAUGUGAAACCUCUCUGUUUCUCUCUCUCUCUUGCCCUAAUACCGUGUAUGUUUUUUUUUUAACAUGGUCUCUGUCUCACUCUCUCUCUCUUCUAUUGCUUGUAGAUUUGCAGAGUUCUCUAAACGCCCGCAAAUCCUGUUUCAUUAAUCAUAUUUCCAUCAGUCCAACAGAGUAAAGCGUGCAAAGGCAUCUUACUUGCAUUGAGGUUAGAGACAGUCUAGAGAGGUUUCAGAAUGAGAUUGUGGUAAUUUGGCGAGGGCGUGCUGGAACACACCCAGGCUUGAUGUCCUCAGCCUUCUGCAGGACGAUCCUGCUGUUCCCGCUGUCGAAAACACAGCAAGACAAGGGGAGGGGCGUAAGAAGUACAGCGUACUGUGUAUAAAAUAAUGAGCUACAAGGAGAUACUGUCCAGCACAAGAAAUAUAGCUAGUACUUUUUUAAUAGCUAUAAAUGGAGUAUGGGUUUCCACGGUGGCUCAGAUGGUAAAGAAUCUGCCUGCAACGCAGGAGACCUAGGUUCGAUCCCUAGGUUGGGAAGAUUUCCUGGAGGGGAUGGUAUGACUACGCACUCCAGUAUUCUUGCCAGGAGAAUCCCAUGGACAGAGGAGCCUGGCAGGCUACAGUCCAUGGGGUCGCAAAG